rnacentral:rRNA from 1 species
AAUAAGCACUCCGCCUGGGGAGUACGGCCGCAAGGUUGAAACUCAAAGGAAUUGACGGGGGCCCGCACAAGCAGCGGAGCAUGUUGUUUAAUUCGAAGCAACGCGAAGAACCUUACCAGGUCUUGACAUCCAGUAAAACUUGUAGAGAUAUAAGGUGAGCUUGCUCAUACUGAGACAGGUGGUGCAUGGUUGUCGUCAGCUCGUGUCGUGAGAUGUUGGGUUAAGUCCCGCAACGAGCGCAACCCUUGUGAUUAGUUACUAACGCGUAAAGGCGAGGACUCUAAUAAGACUGCCGGGGACAACUCGGAGGAAGGUGGGGACGACGUCAAAUCAUCAUGCCCCUUAUGACCUGGGCUACAAACGUGCUACAAUGGCCACUACAGAGAGCAGCGAAGUCGCAAGGCCAAGCGAAUCUCAUAAAAGUGGUCCCAGUUCGGAUUGUGGGCUGCAACCCGCCCACAUGAAGUCGGAGUUGCUAGUAAUCGCGAAUCAGCAUGUCGCGGUGAAUACGUUCCCGGGCCUUGUACACACCGCCCGUCACACCAUGGGAGUUGAUAGCGCCCGAAGUCGGUGAGGCAACCGUAAGGAGUCAGCCGCCGAAGGUGAGAUCAAUGACUGGGGUGAAGUCGUAACAAGGUAGCCG